rnacentral:rRNA from 1 species
UACAGAGGUCCCAAGCGUUGUUCGGAUUCAUUGGGCGUAAAGGGUGCGUAGGCGGCGCGGUAAGUCGGGUGUGAAAUCUCGGGGCUUAACUCCGAAACUGCAUUUGAUACUGCCGUGCUUGAGGACUGGAGAGGAGACUGGAAUUUACGGUGUAGCAGUGAAAUGCGUAGAGAUCGUAAGGAAGACCAGUGGCGAAGGCGGGUCUCUGGACAGUUCCUGACGCUGAGGCACGAAGGUCAGGGGAGCAAACGGG